UGUUGGCGGGUUCAGUGAGGAAUGCUUAUCACACCAAGUACAGGACUAUUUGGGGUGAAAAUCCUCCAUCUUGCCAAACUGUGAGAAAGGGAGUUUUUGCUGCAGGGGCAGCUUUCGUUUUCUUCACUGCCAUUGUCUCCGAAUUCUACUACAUUUGCUAUUCCAAGGCCAGGGAAAGCUUCCAGCCAUAUGGCGGAGAAACUGGUGUCGGCAUGGGGACCUACAAAUAAGCUGCUUUAUUGUGUGAUCUUGAAGUAAUAGCUGAACUCAAUUCAACGAUUUGCUUUAGCUUGCAUUUCAUGUC
rnacentral:lncRNA from 1 species